UACACUCCUACGGGAGGCAGCAGUAGGGAAUCUUCGGCAAUGGGGGCAACCCUGACCGAGCAACGCCGCGUGAGUGAAGAAGGUUUUCGGAUCGUAAAGCUCUGUUGUAAGUCAAGAACGAGUGUGAGAGUGGAAAGUUCACACUGUGACGGUAGCUUACCAGAAAGGGACGGCUAACUACGUGCCAGCAGCCGCGGUAAUACGUAGGUCCCGAGCGUUGUCCGGAUUUAUUGGGCGUAAAGCGAGCGCAGGCGGUUUGAUAAGUCUGAAGUUAAAGGCUGUGGCUCAACCAUAGUUCGCUUUGGAAACUGUCAAACUUGAGUGCAGAAGGGGAGAGUGGAAUUCCAUGUGUAGCGGUGAAAUGCGUAGAUAUAUGGAGGAACACCGGUGGCGAAAGCGGCUCUCUGGUCUGUAACUGACGCUGAGGCUCGAAAGCGUGGGGAGCGAACAGGAUUAGAUACCCUGGUAGUCCCA
rnacentral:rRNA from 1 species